rnacentral:lncRNA from 1 species
AUUUCAAAUCUAAUUGAUUGUAAAGAAAAAAGCGUUGAGAUUUAUGAGGUUUGAAGAAUUUUUUUUUUUUUUUUUUUGAUAGGUGAGGUUUGAAGAAUCUUGGCAUACAAAAGCUAAAACUUACGAUAAAACUAAGGUCCUAUGAGUUGAAUGGAUGUUCUGAAAUAGUGAAAGCGAAGCACAAAUUUCAAGAUUUUUGGGUUUUGAUUUCUGGGGUUUAUGGAAACAUGAAAGCGAAGCAGAAAGUGUCGGGAUUUAUGGUGUUUGAUUUCUAUGUUUCAUAAAGAUGGAUUUUGUUACUCCCCUCACAUAGCACCUUGGCACG